ensembl:rRNA 5S_rRNA 5S ribosomal RNA
UCUACGGCCAUACCACCCUGAAUGCACCCGAUCUUAUCUGAUCUCAGAAGCUAAGCAGGAUCGGGCCUGGUUAGUACUUGGAUGGGAGACUUUUCAGUUUACAAAUUACCCCAUCAAGGAGAGAUGUGCAUUAUGAA